rnacentral:rRNA from 1 species
UGGGGAAUCUUGCACAAUGGGCGCAAGCCUGAUGCAGCAACGCCGCGUGCGGGAAGACGGCCCUAGGGUUGUAAACCGCUUUCAGGAGGGAAGAAAAUGACGGUACCUCCAGAAGAAGGUGCGGCCAACUACGUGCCAGCAGCCGCGUGACACGUAGGCACCAAGCGUUAUCCGGAUUUAUUGGGCGUAAAGAGCUCGUAGGCGGUUCGGUAAGUCGGGUGUGAAAAUCCAAGGCUCAACCUUGGGACGCCACCCGAUACUGCUGUGACUAGAGUGCGGUAGGGGAGCGGGGAAUUCCUGGUGUAGCGGUGAAAUGCGCAGAUAUCAGGAGGAACACCAGUGGCGAAGGCGCCGCUCUGGGCCGUAACUGACGCUGAGGAGCGAAAGCAUGGGUAGCAAACAGGAUUAGAUACCCUGGUAGUCCAUGCCGUAAACGUUGGGCACUAGGUGUGGGUCUCAACCAACGAGAUCCGCGCCGUCGCUAACGCAUUAAGUGCCCCGCCUGGGGAGUACGGUCGCAAGACUAAAACUCAAAUGAAUU